rnacentral:rRNA from 1 species
AUUGAACGCUGGCGGCAGGCCUAACACAUGCAAGUCGAGCGAGCGGCGGACGGGUGAGUAAUGUAUGGGGACUGCCCGAUAGAGGGGGAUAACUACUGGAAACGGUGGCUAAUACCGCAUACUAUCGGAUAACCCAUAUGGGAUUAGCUAGUAGGUGGGGUAAAGGCUCACCUAGGCGACGAUCUCUCGCUGGUCUGAGAGGAUGAUCAGCCACAGUGGGUCUGCGACACACGCCAGACGCCGUCGGAGUCAGCUGUGGGGAAUAUUUCAAAAUGGGCGCAAUCCUGAUGCAGCCAUGCCGCGUGUAUGAAGAUGGCAUUAGGGGUGUAAAGUACUUUCAGCUGGGCGGCGUUACCAGCAGAAGAAGCACCGGCUAACUCCGGGCCAGCCGCCGCGGUAAUCC